GGCGGUGCGAGGGCGGCUGCACAGUGAGCAGAGCAGCGGUCCGGACGGCAGCGUGUUCCCCGAGCUCUUCGCCUCUCCCCGCCCGCCAGCCGAGGCAACUAGAACCCAGCGGCCCCAGCAGCAGCGCCAUGGCUGGGUGGAACGCCUACAUCGACAACCUCACGGUGGACGGGACCUGUCAGGACGCGGCCAUCGUGGGCUACAAGGACUCGCCCUACGUCUGGGCCGCUGUCCCUGCGAAAACCUUUGUCAACAUCACGCCAGCUGAGGUUGGUGUCCUGGUUGGCAAAGACCGGUCAAGUUUUUACGUGAAUGCGCUGACACUUGGGGGCCAGAAGAGUUCGAUUAUCUGGGACUCACUGCUGCAGGAUGGGGAAUUUAGCAUGGAUCUUCAUACCAAGAGCACUGGUGGAGCCCCCACCUUCAAUGUUACUGUCACUGUCACCAAGACUGACAAGACGCUAGUCCUGCUGAUGGGCAAAGAAGGUGUCCACGGUGGUUUGAUCAACAAGAAAUGUUAUGAAAUGGCCUCCUACCUUCGGUGUGCCCAGUACUGACCUCGUCUGUCCCUUCCCCUUCACUGCUCCCCACAGUUUUGCACCCUUUUCCUCCCCAUACACACAACACCGUUUUGUUUUUGGGGCCAUUACCCCACACUCCUUAUUGCUGCCAAAACCACAUGCGCUGGGGGCCAGGGCUGGAUAGACAGACACCUCCCCCUACCCAUACCCCUCCUGUGUGUGGUUGGAAAACUUUUUUGUUUUUUGGGUUGGUUUUUUUUUUUUUUUUUCUGAAUAAAAAAGAUUAUAC